rnacentral:rRNA from 1 species
CCUACGGGUGGCAGCAGUAAGGAAUAUUGGUCAAUGGACGCAAGUCUGAACCAGCCAUGCCGCGUGGAGGAUGAAGGUCCUCUGGAUUGUAAACUUCUUUUAUUUGGGAAGAAACUCCCGAUUUCCAUCGGGAUUGACGGUACCAGAUGAAUAAGCACCGGCUAACGCCGUGCCAGCAGCCGCGGUAAUACGGAGGGUGCAAGCGUCACUCGGAUUCACUGGGGCUAAAGGGUGCGGGGAAGUCAGUGGUGAAAUCUCCGGGCUUAACCCGGUAACUGCCAUUGAUACUAUUUGUCUUGAAUACUCUGGAGGUGAGCGGAAUAUGUCAUGUAGCGGUGAAAUGCUUAGAUAUGACAUAGAACACCCAUUGCGAAGGCAGCUCACUACGGAAAUAUUGACGCUGAGGCACGAAAGCGUGGGGAUCAAACAGGAUUAGAUACCCUAGUAGUC